CACAUGCAAGUCGAGCGGCAGCGGGAAGUAGUUUACUACUUUGCCGGCGAGCGGCGGACGGGUGAGUAAUGUCUGGGGAUCUGCCUGAUGGAGGGGGAUAACUACUGGAAACGGUAGCUAAUACCGCAUGACCUCGUAAGAGCAAAGUGGGGGACCUUCGGGCCUCACGCCAUCGGAUGAACCCAGAUGGGAUUAGCUAGUAGGUGGGGUAAUGGCUCACCUAGGCGACGAUCCCUAGCUGGUCUGAGAGGAUGACCAGCCACACUGGAACUGAGACACGGUCCAGACUCCUACGGGAGGCAGCAGUGGGGAAUAUUGCACAAUGGGCGCAAGCCUGAUGCAGCCAUGCCGCGUGUGUGAAGAAGGCCUUCGGGUUGUAAAGCACUUUCAGCGAGGAGGAAGGCAGUCGUGUUAAUAGCACGAUUGAUUGACGUUACU
rnacentral:rRNA from 1 species